CGGGCGUUUCAAAACCAAAGUUCUCCCACCAUGCAACUGGGUCCAUUUUAUCCCGGCAAUCCACAGCAUCUUCUUCUCCUAAGGAUCCCUCUAGAUGCCAGUAUGAGCUGAGCUGCUCUCUAAGAACACGUCUGGCUGCACUUUCAACUUCAUAUCUUUCUAGAGUAGCUUUCCAGCCCCGCAUUACAGAUUUCUCUUUGGUUUGAAAUUUUCCAAUAAAUCUCGGAUUCAGUAUAUAGCCUGCAGCAUGAAGAGGGGAAAAUAGUACAUCCCAUUUGUUCUCAAUCAUUCCUUCCAAUUGAUUCAAUAUGUCAACAUCAAUUGCCAU
rnacentral:misc_RNA from 1 species